CUUGCCCUACGGGAGGCAGCAGUGGGGAAUAUUGGGCAAUGGGCGCAAGCCUGACCCAGCAACGCCGCGUGAAGGAAGAAGGCCCUCGGGUUGUAAACUUCUUUUAUCAAGGACGAAACAAAUGACGGUACUUGAUGAAUAAGCCACGGCUAACUACGUGCCAGCAGCCGCGGUAAUACGUAGGUGGCAAGCGUUAUCCGGAUUUACUGGGUGUAAAGGGCGUGUAGGCGGGACUGCAAGGCAGAUGUGAAAACCAUGGGCCCAACCCAUUGCCUGCAUUUGAAACUGUAGGUCUUAAGUGUUGG
rnacentral:rRNA from 1 species